rnacentral:rRNA from 1 species
AUUGAACGCUGGCGGCAGGCCUAACACAUGCAAGUCGAGCGGAUGAAGGGAGCUUGCUCCUGGUUUCAGCGGCGGACGGGUGAGUAAUGCCUAGGAAUCUGCCUGUUAGUGGGGGAUUACAUCCGGAAACGGGCGCUAAUACCGCAUACGUCCUAAGGGAGAAAGUGGGGGAUCUUCGGACCUCACGCUAUCAGAUGAGCCUAGGUCGUAUUAGCUAGUUGGUGGGGUAAAGGCCUACCAAGGCGACGAUCCGUAACUGGUCUGAGAGGAUGAUCAGUCACACUGGAACUGAGACACGGUCCAGACUCCUACGGGAGGCAGAAGUGGGGAAGAUUGGAAAAAGGGCGAAAGACUGAACAAGCCAUGCCGCGUGUGUGAAGAAGGUCUUCGGAUUGUAAAGCACUUUAAGUGGGGAGGAAGGGCAGUAAGUUAAUACAUGGCUGUUGUGACGUUACCAACAGAAGAAGCACCGGCUAACUUCGUG